GUUACUGCUAUCGAGGUUCGACUAAGCCAUGCGAGUCGAAUGUAGCAAUACAUGGCGAACUGCUCAGUAACACGUGGACAACCUGCCCUUAGGUUGGGUAUAAACCCGGGAAACUGGGUAUAAUACCCGAUAGGUCUCGAUUGCUGGAAUGCAUCGAGAUUUAAAGCUCCGGCGCCUAAGGAUGGGUCUGCGGCCUAUCAGGUAGUAGUGGGUGUAGCGUACCUACUAGCCUACGACGGGUACGGGUUGUGAGAGCAAGAGCCCGGAGAUGGAUUCUGAGACACGAAUCCAGGCCCUACGGGGUGCAGCAGGCGCGAAAACUUUACAAUGCUGGCAACAGCGAUAAGGGAACCUCGAGUGCCAGGUUACAAAUCUGGCUGUCGAGAUGCCUAAAAAGCAUUUCAUAGCAAGGGCCGGGCAAGACCGGUGCCAGCCGCCGCGGUAACACCGGCGGCUCGAGUGGUAACCGUUAUUAUUGGGUCUAAAGGGUCUGUAGCCGGCCGGAUAAGUCUCUUGAGAAAUCUGGCAGCUUAACUGUCAGGCUUUCAGGAGAUACUGUCUGGCUCGAGGCCGGGAGAGGUGAGAGGUACUUCAGGGGUAGGG
rnacentral:rRNA from 1 species